rnacentral:tRNA from 1 species
GCGCCUGUGGCUCAAAGGCAUAGGGCGCUGGCCCCAUAUGCCAGAGGUGGUGGGUUCAAACCCAGCCCUGGGCA